rnacentral:tRNA from 1 species
GCCGAAAUAGCUCAGUUAGGAGAGCGUUUGACUGAAUAUCAAAAGGUCCCUGGUUCGAUCCCGGGUUUCGGCA